CAGUCAGUGCACGACAUAUGCAGACGACUUAAAUACGCGACGGGGUAUUGUAAGUGGCAGAGUGGCCUUGCUGCCACGAUCCACUGAGAUUCAGCCCUUUGUCGCUUCGAUUCGU
rfam:Gossypium raimondii scaffold_864_contig_2, whole genome shotgun sequence.